UACAAUCAACAAUUGUUGAGA
rnacentral:piRNA from 1 species